rnacentral:rRNA from 1 species
UACAGAGGGGGCAAGCGUUGUUCGGAAUUACUGGGCGUAAAGGGCUCGUAGGUGGCCAACUAAGUCAUACGUGAAAUCCCUCGGCUUAACCGGGGAACUGCGUCUGAUACUGGAUGGCUUGAGGUUGGGAGAGGGAUGCGGAAUUCCAGGUGUAGCGGUGAAAUGCGUAGAUAUCUGGAGGAACACCGGUGGCGAAGGCGGCAUCCUGGACCAAUUCUGACACUGAGGAGCGAAAGCCAGGGGAGCAAACGGG